CUGCAUUUUAGGAGAUGUGAAUUAACUAUUUGUAUUGUAAUUGUGAUGUUUUUAGAGGAGCAGGAAGUGUGUGCAUUAUUUAUGCAUUUAGGCGGUCUGCAAUACUUGCCACGCUUUUUCUCUUUGCUUUAUCACUGUGACGGUGUUGCCUUUCUUCUUAAUUAUGUCUUUUACCUCCUUGUAUGCCUCCAUGAGGAUUUGUGCCUCCAACGGGGAAAAGUACACCGCUCUAGUUGCCAUGGUGAAUCAGUGAAUCUGUGAUUGGUGGUGGGUCUGUUUGAGUGAGCCGUGAGCGCGCGCAUAUCCAGGAUUGGUUUCACCUGGCUUGAUGAAUCCGUGUCUGCUCAUCCUGGCUUCGUCUUUGUGCAACCAAUUAAGCCUGGACGCACUUGUUUUGGAUUCAUUGAGCUCAACUCAGUCAUUUAUCCUGGAUGUCUUAAUUCUACUUUUGUGCAACAGGCCCCUGGAUAGACAUAUAUAACAAACCUAGUCAAACAAACAAGACACAGGUGGCGAAACAUGAAACAAGGAGACCUGUCAGCCUGCCAUCUUGUGGUCUUGCAGGCAACCAACAGUUUAGCCAAAAAAUAAAAUCAUAUGGGCUCCCCAGACUACCAGUAACAAAGAUGUUUGGAUUCCACACUCUAUAAGAAUCUCAGCUUUUCGACCAACCAAGGUUCGUGUGUCAUGUAAUGGAUGAUUACAGAAGACAUGCAGAACACCAAUGCCCAUCUAGUAGAGGCCAUGCGCAACCCACCACCACCACGGGGUGAACCAUCAAAAUUGGCGCUGCCAGAUAAAUUUGACGGAACUGCGGAUCGCUGCAAAGGGAAAGUGCUGGACUGGGCCUCCACCAUUUGGGACAGUGACACAGGAAUCCAUUGAACCUCCAAGCCAAAAUGGCCUGCAAAGUUGUGAACCUCUCACUAUCCCAGUUCAUCAGCACUGCCAUCCGAUUGGGUACUGCCAUCUCAGGCACAUACAGCCCCCACAAGCUUGUCAGAAAACUCAUUAUUCUCAUCCACAAUCAACUUGUUCAUGAUCUUCAUCUACUCUCUGUUCCAUGUGCCACCCCACUGAAGGUAACGCUUUGUAAACAAUCAGCCCAUCAGAGACGGAUUUAACAUGCACCAAACUGUUGCAAUAACCCUUCAGGUGGGACAGUUCCAUGUGGUUUGUGGUCUCCUUUCCCGUUCACCCUGUCAUCCUAGGAUUUCCCUGGCUGCACUUACACAACACCCAAUUCUCCUGGCAGGAUAAAGGGCUCACUUGUUGGUCUCCCUACUGUAUUACCCGUUGCCUUCAAAAAUUAUCCACCUACUGAUGUCACUUAACCAUCAUCAAAAGCCAGCCAGCGAGAGAACCACUGAGAAUAUCUUGACCUCAUGAAGGUGUUCAGCAAAGAGCGUGCAACAAAUUUAAUCCCAAAUUUUUCUUGGGACUGUGCUAACAAACUGUUGCCCAAUUCCUCAUUCCACAAAAACUGAGUUUACCCCCUUUCACUCCCGAGACUUGAGACCCAUGGAGGAAUACAUUAAGGAAGCUCUGGCUCAUUUGCCCCUCCACAUCACCUGCUGUUGCUGUGUUUUUUCUUAGAGAAGAAAUAUGAGACUACGGCCCUGCAUUGACUACCGGGUCCUUAACACCAUCACAGUCCGUUAUCCAUUCCCCCUUCCUUUAGUACCCUCAGCCCUCAGAUUUUUUAACAACUUUACUUGAGAGGUGCCUACAAUCGCACACCCAAACACUAAGGGGUUAACUUUAUUUGCCAGCCCUGAUAAAAUGGAAGGGAUGCAUCAGGAAGAGGAUCAGAUGAUCCACCAUGAACAUUGUUAUUAUUGUUGCUGUUUUGUUGUUGUUACUAGACAUACUUAUUGUUACAAGUUAAAAUGAAGUGCACAGGUGUGUGUGUGUGUGUGUGUGUGUGUGUGUGUGUGUGUGUGUGUGUGUGUGUGUGUGUGUGUGUGCUGCAACUGUUAAAGAACUGCCGUGAAUUCAAAUGAAGUCAGUGUGAAAACUAAAGAGACUCCAAUGCACUGAUCUUAGCUUUAAAGUCAGACCAAACUGUGUUCAAACAGCUUCACCAUGUGCAGAUAAUUGAGAAAGACAAAGUGAGUGGAGGCAGGGAGCAUUUAAAAAAUGGUCCAAAACUGGACAUAUUUCAUGUGAUGUUUUUUUAUUUUCCACUUUUAUGUACUGACAUUAUGCAAUGUACAUUCAUAUUUAUGGUCUAUAUAUUUGGCCAGUGUAAAAAAUUAAUAAAAUAUGUACACACUAAUCAAUUCAAUUCAAUUCAAAGUGUUUGUU